UACGUAGGGGGCGAGCGUUGUCCGGAAUCAUUGGGCGUAAAGAGCGUGUAGGCGGCUUGGCAAGUCUGACGUGAAAGCCCGCGGCUCAACCGCGGAUUGUCGUUGGAAACCUUCUGGCUAGAGUCCGGAAGAGGAGAGUGGAAUUCCUGGUGUAGCGGUGAAAUGCGCAGAUAUCAGGAAGAACACCUAUGGCGAAGGCAGCUCUCUGGGACGGUACUGACGCUGAGACGCGAAAGCGUGGGGAGCGAACAGG
rnacentral:rRNA from 1 species